rnacentral:rRNA from 1 species
AAUGCCUAGGAAUCUGCCUAGUGGUGGGGGAUAACGUUCGGAAACGGACGCUAAUACCGCAUACGUCCUACGGGAGAAAGCGGGGGACCUUCGGGCCUCGCGCCAUUAGAUGAGCCUAGGUCGGAUUAGCUAGUUGGUGAGGUAAUGGCUCACCAAGGCUACGAUCCGUAACUGGUCUGAGAGGAUGAUCAGUCACACUGGAACUGAGACACGGUCCAGACUCCUACGGGAGGCAGCAGUGGGGAAUAUUGGACAAUGGGCGAAAGCCUGAUCCAGCCAUGCCGCGUGUGUGAAGAAGGUCUUCGGAUUGUAAAGCACUUUAAGUUGGGAGGAAGGGUAGUAACUUAAUACGUUGCUACUUUGACGUUACCGACAGAAUAAGCACCGGCUAACUUCGUGCCAGCAGCCGCGGUAAUACGAAGGGUGCAAGCGUUAAUCGGAAUUACUGGGCGUAAAGCGCGCGUAGGUGGUUCAGUA